CACGGGGGGAGCAAGCGUUGUUCGGAAUCACUGGGCGUAAAGGGCGUGUAGGCGGUUUGGUAAGUGGGAUGUGAAAUGCCUCGGCUCACCCGAGGACCGGCAUCCCAAACUGCCAAGCUUGAGUAUGGGAGAGGAUGUGGGAAUUCCUGGUGUAGUGGUGAAAUGCGUAGAUAUCAGGAGGAACACCGGUGGCGAAGGCGCACAUCUGGCCCAAUACUGACGCUGAGGCGCGAAAGCUAGGGGAGCAAACAGG
rnacentral:rRNA from 1 species